AGGAAAACUGCUCUGCUGGGGAAUGUUUGAAGCAGAUAAAUUUAUGCCUAGGAGAUGGGAGCUAAAGAAAGGAAGUGGACUGCGGGAAAGAGGACAAAGUGAAGAGGAAGCAGAAAUCCAACCACUGAGAAGAGAUGGCUGAACAUUCAUUUCUUGCCAGGUAAUGUUUUUGUUCAGUACUACCAAGGCUGAUCAUGUCC
rnacentral:lncRNA from 1 species